rnacentral:rRNA from 1 species
GAUGAACGCUAGCGGCAGGCCUAACACAUGCAAGUCGAGGGGCAGCGGGGUGUAGCAAUACACUGCCGGCGACCGGCGCACGGGUGCGUAACACGUAUCCAAUCUACCCAUGGCUCGGGAAUAGCCUUUCGAAAGAAAGAUUAAUGCCCGAUGGUCUGUUUGUGAGACAUCUUGCGAGCAGUAAAGAUUUAUCGGCGAUGGAUGAGGAUGCGUCCGAUUAGCUGGUUGGCGGGGUAACGGCCCACCAAGGCGACGAUCGGUAGGGGUUCUGAGAGGAAGGUCCCCCACAUUGGAACUGAGACACGGUCCAAACUCC